UACAGAGGGGGCAAGCGUUAUUCGGAAUUACUGGGCGUAAAGCGUGCGUAGACGGUUAUGUAAGUUAGGUGUGAAAGCCCCGGGCUCAACCUGGGAAUUGCAUUUAAGACUGCAUAGCUAGGGUGCGGAAGAGGGAAGCGGAAUUUCCGGUGUAGCGGUGAAAUGCGUAGAUAUCGGAAGGAACAUCAGUGGCGAAAGCGGCUUCCUGGUCCAGCACCGACGUUCAGGCACGAAAGCGUGGG
rnacentral:rRNA from 1 species